UACGUAGGGUGCGAGCGUUAAUCGGAAUUACUGGGCGUAAAGCGCGUGUAGGCGGCUUUGCAAGUCGGGUGUGAAAGCCCUCAGCUCAACUGAGGAAGUGCGCUCGAAACUGCGGGGCUCGAGUACCGGAGAGGAUGGCGGAAUUCCCCAAGUAGAGGUGAAAUUCGUAGAUAUGGGGAGGAACACCGGUGGCGAAGGCGGCCAUCUGGACGGAUACUGAUGCUGAGACGCGAAAGCGUGGGGAGCAAACAGG
rnacentral:rRNA from 1 species